AAAGACUGUCUAUAUGAUGGCUUUGGACAUCUAUCCUGCCUGGCGUCUCAGUUCUGAGUUCCUCUGGCAGUUCAGUGAAAGAGAAUGCAAAGAAGAAAGAGGAAACCAUCAUUGUGUGAAAACUGCAGAGGGCGCAUCUGAGAGUGGUGGGACCAUGGAAAGUUAAGAUGUGGAAAUUUGGUUCUAUAGAAAGAAAAUGAUUCUUCCAAGAUUAUAUAUGGGUGGCUCUGGAUGGCAUCCUCACACCACAUCCAAGAGUCUUUGGCUCCAGUCAUUAAGAUCUCUCCAUAUAUAUAUAUAGUGAC